rnacentral:lncRNA from 1 species
UGUACAGUUCGACGACAGGAAAAACCAAUGAAGAUCCAGUUGAAAUGAUUCUCAAAUUUCUAUAAAAUCAGUCAGAUCCAUCACAUGGAGGUUGCAAAAAAACUAUUGAAUAUCAUUUUAUUAACUGAAAAUAAAAUGCAAAAGGAUGGUGCAUCUGUAGGAUGAUCAGUACUCAAUUUGAGCAUUUGAUUAAUCCGCGCUGCUUAUUCUCUCAACACUUGCCUCAUGUUAGAUUACUGUAAGUUACUGCAAUUCAAUAGCUUAAGUUCACGGUACCUUAUCUUAUUAUCAGAAAUAAAAUGUAUGUAUGAUCCUGAUAACUAAGUAACCAGUAACUGUCAAUAGAAGAGAGAGAUAUAGAACACACCUUGAUUUGAAACCCUGCCAACGUGCCCAAUCUGACAAAAGAAGAUCCCACCUUUGGCAUGAACAGCAUCUACAAUCGGUUUCCAUGCUUCAACUUGCUCCUUUGUCCAGAUACCAGGUGUAUCUGGAUACCUUACAAUAAAAGAAACAACAGAACACACAAGAUUUUCAAGCAACUAAAUACAGGUAAUGCUUUCGAAACUCAAACAUACAAUUUCUUAUCCAUUUAAUGCCUCAAAAAACUCUUAAAACAGUUAAACGGAUGUAAAAUUACCCUUGAGCAGUGUCGGAAACUCCAGUGGCUUCGGCUAUAAGCAAACCCCCUUUGGUGGUUCUUUGAGAGUAAUACAAAAUGGCAUGUGGCUGAGGAACAUUGUUGUAUGAUCUCUGUCUAGUCAGUGGUGCUAAAACAACUCUGAAAUAAACAAAACAAGCAAGCCGCAAUUCAAUUAGCCCCAUCACCAAUAACUCAAACUCAAAAGAAAAAAACCCAUAAAAUUGCAACAUUACACUUAAACUGCCUCUGUAACACUCUCAGUCAGAUCAUAGACCAAACGAACAAAUACAAAGAAGAUACAGAAACUAAAUCAGAUCAUACAUUCAAAUCAGUUAAGGGUAUUAUAAGUUAAUAACCGGGCGUGCUUCUGCUUAAUUACCAAAAAAGGACAGUUAAAAAGUGUUCCGUAAACACCAACAGUUUUACUCGAUAGCUACUGAUUCACUCCACAUAGAGACUGUGAAUUAAAAACCACAGUAACUAAAUCCCAAAUAUUUCCUAAUCCAUUCCAAAUAUUCACUAAUCCAUUCAUUCUAAAUGGACAAGGAUUCAGUGGUCCACUGCGUUUGCGCUGAGCCCUGGAUAAACAGUGAGAAUCUGAGUGCUCAUGAUGUGAAUGCUCGCCACUCAAAUGUACUUUGGCAGAUAUCACUUUCGUCAAUAAAGUUAACGCCAUACAAAAAUCCAUACAGCGAAAGAAAAUGUAAAUCCAAAAAAAUAAAAAUAAAAAACUCAAUGAAAUAAAAGGUGGGUACAAUCGGUACCUAUCAGAAAGAUUGAGACUGCCCAUAUUGUAAGGAGUGAGAAGAGGGAUGAUGGGAGUUUCAAUGGCCAUGUUACCGUUGUUCUCUUCUUGAUUUUGCUUAGCCUCCUCUGCUCUGUUUCCCAUGUUUAGUAGAAUUACAAGCAAAUUGAGAAUCCUUAACGCGACUGAAAAUAAAAUGAUUAAAGAAACGGAAGGGUUCAAUUGGGUAUUUAUAGACCGAAAUGGGUCGACCGUUUUGGAAUAUAAAAAAAUUCCACGAGGGGCGAAUCAGUCUCCAUUGCCAUUGGAUUCAAUGUUCACAUAUGUUUAAAAUGCUUUUAAUAGCUGGCACGUGACGUUUGCAAGUACGUAGCCGGCUGCUGUUGCCUGUCUUUGAACAACUAACCAAUAUGCUUUUAUUUUUAAUAAUGAGAUUCUAAGGGCUGUUUGGAAUUAUUGUUGAGAAGUUUAAAAAUAAUUUUUAAAAGUUAAUAGUUAAUUUUAGAUUUUGAUAAUUUUUUAAAAAUUAUUUUUGGUAAAUUUAUUUUAAUUUUAUAAUGGAUUUUAAAAAAUUGAGAAUAAGUAGUUUUUCAAAAUUUAAUUUAAGAAUCAAUUUUAUACCUAACAUAAUUUCAUACAUAUUCUCAAAUUUAUUAUAUAAAUCUAAAAUUAUCCUUUUUAAUUAGGAAAUAAAAUCAUUAACUUAAAAAAAAAUUAUUACUUCCCAUUAUAUUAAGAUAACAAAAAAAUUAAUAAUAUAAAAUAUUUAUUUUAGUUAUCAAUUAUCAUUUAUACAAAAUAAAAAUAUUUUAUAUACAUAUUUAUAAAUAUAUAAAUAAAAUCAAUUUAACAUUAAGUCUAGUUCAAUCGUUUACAUUCUUAUAGCAAUUUAGCAAUAAAACUUAGCACACAUACAAUUAUUUUUAAAACCCAUAAUACUUUUUAAAACGCAUAGUAUUUUAAAAGUUACAUUAUUAGUAGAAUAACCCUAAGUUAUUGUGCUGAUUGUACUGAUUGAUUGUAAUAAUUCUAUUUAAUGGAAUGAAAGUUUAGGGUGCCUAAAAAAUAUGUAUAAUUAAAUGAUUUAAAAAUCAAGUAGUACCAACAAAGAAAGUAAAAUAGAAUUAAAAAUUAUAUUUAAAGAAACAUGAAAUUGGUUUUAAUUAAGAAUAUCAAAACAUCAUAUAAUUGGAGUGACUUCAGCAAUGACAAAUUAAUCUAUAAUGUACUCAAACGGAAGUGAUCUGUCUUUGUCAAGACUCAAAAUAUUGAAAUUAGUUGAAGGGAUCUCUUCUUUAUUAGGAAAUUUUUUAUUAUUUCCCUAAAAUAAUUAUAAAAAAAAUUACUCCACAUGGAAAGUUUUUGUUAUAAUUUUUUAAUUAGUCGCUUUCCGCUUUCCCAAAUUUCCUUCGCCCAGUAAAAGUGCUACCUUGUCCCUUUCACUAGUGGUCUAUUUUCCAUAGUUAUUAUCUCAAUCAAGGUAAUUAGAUUUUAUUAUAAAUUUAUCAAACCUUUUUGCUCAUCAUAAUAUAUAGUUUCUGUUUUACUUAUUUAUAAGAUUUUUCAACAAGCGUAUAUUUUCAGCUGCGAAUCUCAGUGAAGACAUUACAAAACAUUAAAAUAGAAAAAUGAGUUCUUUUUAGAUUGUAAAGUUAUCUAUGUUAAAGAUAUAUUACAAAUACUACAUGACUAAAAUUUCAUUAUUGAUGAAUUCUAUAGUUUUAACUUUUAAGUCGCAAGUAUUUCUAUUUUUACACUAACGAGUCGUCUUUCUUAUAAUCUUUUCCAUUACAGAACCUAUAUAUUAAAGUUCUACACGUCAAUGCUAAAUUAAAAAAAAAAAAAGAUAAAAGAAAGAAAGAAACCACCCCAUGGUCAAUAAUCAAUAUUAUAAACUAUUAAAGAAAAUGAUGCAUCCCUCUUAAUUGAAACGAAAACAUGUCCAAGUUCAUCUUUGUCAUCAAAUGAACCGACAAAGUUAUCCAGGAAAUUACAAAUUUAACCAUAAGAAGUUGGAAUUAUAACCAUUAGACCACUCACUAUAAAAAUAAUAGCAUCGGAGUACUAUAUAUUGUGGGUCUUUAUGAUUUUUUAAUAAAAGAUUAACGUAUUUAUAAUUUUUAAUAAAAGAUUAAUGUAUUCGUAGUCUUUUAACCACCUCGUAAUCCUAAUUUAUUUUAUAUUUUUGUCGAAUUAAGACAAAAGGUUCUAUCGAACAUUUUGCAAACGAAAGGACUAUUGCAUCCAGUUUUUCAUGUUUGUGGUUGUUUUUGACAUUUAGCCAUAUCUCAAGUGUAUUGAAGCAUAUAUUUAUUCGACUUGAGUAGAGUUUUAUACUUAACAAAUAUUUUUUAAAAAAAUAUUAAAGCAAAUAUUUAUUCGUAUAUCAUCAUCAUGGUCGUCGUAGUUGUCAUUAUCAUCAUCAGUAAAAUAAUAAUAAUAAUAAUUUAUUAUAUCUUAAUAGUUUGUAAUUUUUUUUUAAUUUAUUUUAGAGAUAGAAUACAUACAAUUUUCUUUUUUGAAUUAUUAUGAUAUAUAUCAUAUAAAAGUAAAGAAUUUUGAAAUUUAAAAAUAAAUUAUGUUUGAAUGUUCACUUAGACAAAAUACAAAAAAAUAAUAAUAGGGACAUAUUGUGCUUUAAAGGCUUUGAAAUUCUUCUUUAAGUCUUGAAUUUCCGCAAUGACCAAAUAUAUUUCUGUUAGGCUGCCUUCUCUGUUGUUUAUCAAUUCUGGUACUUCAUGAGAAUUAGUUUCUAGGAUAACUGACUGUAGACCUGCUUCAUGUGCUAUUUUGAUGCCCUACUCAGCUGCUUCUACUUCCACAUAUGUUACAUCUCUCCUAAACCUUGAGGUUUUUAUAGCUGCAGCUAAGCACUUUCCAGUGGAGUCUAUGAUUAUUGCUCCCAAUCCCGAGCAUUGUCUUUUGGUGUCAGUAGUUGCAUUAACAUUUAUCUUUAGCCAUCCAUCGGGUGGAAGGGUCCAGGAUUUUGGUUUUUCCUUCUGCAUUUUUCCUAGAUUCAACAUCUCCGGAAAUUUUGUUCUUCUAAAAACUUCAUUGACUACUUCAGCUUUGGCCAUUUGCAAUCCUUGAUCCAACUUUACACCUUCAAAUACAAAUUUAUUCUGAGCAUGCCAAAUCACCCACCACAUUGACGCCACAAGCUCAAGUUCAGCUUUACUUAAUUUCUUCUGAAGCAUCAUCAAAUCCCCCAAGAGGUUUGCAUUUCUCAUCUAUUGAAUUGCAUUCACCAUUGAUGAAAGCUGCCAAACCUUUCUUGCUGCUUUGCAAGUGACCAUGGCGUGCAUAGUAUUUUCCACUCUAUUUCUACAAUGCUUGCAGUGACCUUCCUGAAUAAUUCUACGCUUCCACAAAUUAUCAGCUGUCGGUAGUAAGUUUUUAAUUACUUUCCAAAUGAAAAUCUUAAUCUUUUUUAGGAUGGUAAGGGUCUAUAUGAUAUUCCAAUUUCUGCCUUUACUGUUGGAGCAAUUUGGUGAAUUCAAAAAUUUCAUAUGUAUAGCCACUUGGUAUCCACUAUUGACCGAGUAUUUCCCCUUUCUGUCGUAAUGCCAGAUGGCUUGUCCUUUGCUUUGUCCUUUUGGCAAAGGAAUGCUGAGAAUUGCAUCUACAUCUUCCUUUAAAAACAUCUUUUGGAUCAAGUCAGUCUUCCAUCUGCUUUCAUUGUCUAUCAACUCUGAAACAAUAGCAUCGAAAGGCAUCCUUGGACUAGGAAACGGUUUGAAAAAGUGGAUGGUCUUGGAAUCCAAUUUCCUUUGUAGGCUAAGAUGUUUUACCCAUUACCAAUUCUCUAUCUAUAUCCAUUAAGAAUUACUUGUCGACCCCAAAGUAAGCUUCUCUAAAUAUAAGAUGGGUUUGGCCCCAUUGAAGCAUUUAGAAAAUCAGUCUUCUUGAAAAUACCUAGCCUUUAAAACAGUAGCUGCAAGGGAAUCUGGAUUUUGAAUCAAUCUCUAUCCUUGCUUAGCUACCAUGACUUGGUUAAAACUUGAUAUGUCUCUAAAGCCCAUUCCCCCUCAAAUUUUAGCUUGACUCAUCUUCUCCCCUCUGAUCCAAACGAUGCCCCUUUUUUUCCUUCUUUUUAUUGCUCACUAAAUAUCAUCACACAGACCAAUAGGUAUCUUGAAGACACUCAUUGCAUAAGCUGGUUGUGCCACUACUUUUAUCAGGACAUCUUUUCCUCAACUCGAGAAAAGUUUCUGUUGCCAACUAGAGAUCUUGCUCUAGACUUUUAGCUUAAUCUUAUUGAAGAAAAUUUUCUUUUUCCUCCUUAUCAUUGAGGGCAACCCCAAGUACUUCUUAUGCUUCGUUACCACAUUGAGCUGAAAUAUUCUUUUAAUGGCCGAAAUUUGGUUUGCACAGACACUGUCGCUGAAGAACAUGCAUGACUUUUCAAAAUUAAAAAUUUGGCCAGAGGUAGUGGCAUAGCAAUCGAACAAACCUUUUAAAUGCUGGAAAUCUUUAAUUGAGGCUUUGGAAAAAAAAUUAGGCUGUCAUAUGCAAAUAAGAGGUGAGAAAUAGAGAUAUGUUGUCCAAAUUUCAACCCAUGUAUUAACUUGCUUUUCUCAGCCUGAAUCAACAAAUUUGAAAGAGCAUCUGCAUAUAUUAUAAACAGAUAAGGAGAUAAAGGGCAUCCCUGCCUCAAGCCCCUUUUAGGAAUAAUCUUGCCAUUUGGUAUUCCAUUUAUGAUUAUAGAAAAGUAUGACGUAGUAAUGCAAUUCAUAAUUAAAUUUAUCAACUUCUUAGCAAAACCUAAUAUGAUCAUUGUCUCCUUUAAAAAAUCCCACUAUGCCCUAUCAUAAGCUUUGUUGAUAUCUAACUUCAGAGCCACCAAGCCAUUUUUUUUUUCCUUUGUUAUGCCUAAUCUUAUGGUGGCAUUCAUACUCAACAAUGAUAUUAUCCAUUAUCAAUCUGUUGGGGAUAGAACCACUCUACGAAGACUUAAUUACAACAUGUAGGAUAGUUUUCAAUCUAUUUGCAAUAGUUUUACAACAAUCCUAUAAAUGAAAUUACAAAGAUUUAUUGGUCUAAAUUCAGUCACUUUCCUAAGCUUUGCAUUAUUGGCAAUUAAAGCAAUGUAUGCGUGGUUCAAAGGAGCAAUGUUACUUGCUUCAUUGAGGAUGUGAAGACAUGUGGUGAUGUUAACUAAUGGCCAGUGCUUCAAAUAAAAGGCAGCCGGUAGCCCAUCAGGGCCUAGUGUCUUGGUUAGACACAUUUGAUUUAGAGCCUCCAUUAUCUUUUCCUCUGUAUAUGGUUGAGUCAGAUACUCAUUCAUUUAAGCUAAAACUUUUGAGACCAUUUCUUUCAAAGCACACUCCAUUUGAUCUUGAGUAGGGUUGGAAGUUGAAAAUAACUCUGCAAAGUAACUGCAGAACUCUUUCUCAAUAUCUUCAUUUUCUUCUACCCAUUUUCCCUAUGCAUCUUCAACUCCUCAAAUUUUGUUCUUCCUCUUUCUAGAUGAAGCUUUUGAGUGGAAGAAUUUGGUGCUUUUAUCUCCCUCCCUCAAUCAAUCAGCCCUAAACCUCUCUCUGUUUCCAAAAGAUCUCUUCAUCUAAAAGGAGGUUAUGGAUCUGCCUCUCAAUGCUUAUCAAUUCUUCACUCCUAUCCCACUGUCCUUCAUACUAGAGCUCUUAUAUUCUGUUCAUCAGCUUCUCUAAUUUCUUCUUGCUUCCUUUAAAAGUUUUCUUACUCCAGUGUAUUAAUUCAGUUAGUGAAGAUUUGCUGGCUUGUUUAAAAAGCUGCACUGCAUUAUCCCCUGACCAGUCUUUGGUCGAUUCUGCCUUUACAAUGUUCUUACACUCAUCAUAGUUGCUCCACAUGUCUUCAUAAUAGGUUCUUGAAAAGGUUAUUUUAUUAUAUGGCUUUCUAUUGGCUCUGCUUAUCACUUCCAUCAAAAUCGAAUUGUGGUCUGAGCACCAUAUAAUCAGAUUUUUUUGCAGCUUGGUUUUAGAAAGAAUUUGUCCAAUCAUUACUACAUAAAAAUCUAUCUAGACGUUUUUCAACAAAGUGGCUACCAAAUCUCCUAUUAGACCUGUAAAAGGGUGGCUUGUAUAACCCAAAUCUUUCAAAUUGUAAUCCUGAAUAUCAUCUCGAAACUCUUUAAUCAUAUGAACCUCCAUGUCUUUUCCUCCAUUUUUUUCAUCUAAGUGCAUUAUCUCAUUGAAAUUGCCAAAGCAUAACUAAAGGGGUGAAGAUAAACCUGUUAAUCUCCUUAAUAAAGCCCAGGUGUGUUUUUUCUGACUCGUUUCUAGGUGCCCGUAGAUUCUAGUGCAUCUCAUCUACUUCCCACUUUCAGUUCUACCUCAGUAUUUAUGCGGUGUUUACUGAAAGAGGUAAUAUCUACCCUUGUUGCUGAAUUCCAAAGCAUAGCUAGACCCCCAUUCUUACCACCUCUACUAACCCAAAAAUAAUUUUCAAACUUCAGCUUCUUGCCAACAUUUUCCAUGUGUACAGAUGUCAAUUUAGUUUCACAUAGAAACAUUAAUUGAGGCGUAUACCAUGUGAGGAAUUUUUGGAGAACUAUGAACGUCCGGUCAUUCCCCAUCCCCUGGACAUUCCAGCUUAGAAUCCUCAUAGCUGUCGGCAGGGUUGGUGUUCUGCCUCCGCCGAUUGAGUUGCAUUGUUUGUGUUUUUAACAUUUUCUCCAUUCUUGAAACAACCCAGUUGAGCUUAUAGCUAAGAGGAGAUGUAUUGCAGGAGCUUUCUCUAACUAUUGAGUUUUUCUGUGGGCUUAGGAUUUGGGUUUUUUUUUUUUAUGAUUUGGGCUUGACCUUAUUACUCCACAACCUAGUCUUUUUCCCACAAUUAGCCCUUCUUUUGUGUGUCCUUUGCUACUUACACUUCUAGCUGGCAGCUUUCACUUCUUUCUCUUAGGCCUAGCAUUUUUUGUUUUCGGUCCAUCACAUACUACUUCUCUGGGCUUGAGUUGCUUUGAUAUUUUUUUGGGCUUGUAUUUAGAGUUAAUUUUGGCUUCAAAUUUAGCACCAAAUUUAACUUUAUUCCCUCUCAAUUCUCUGUUCCCACUUUUUCUCUCUUUUUUCCAUGAUUGUUUAAGUUGUCGGCUGUAUUUUCGGUAUCAGCCAUGUUAGGUUACUUUUGACCGUGUCUUUCUGAUUUCUUGGUUCUAGAGUCAUUUGUAUUAAUUACUCCCCAAUUUUCCUUGUUUAACUAUCAUGAUCUCCCCGAAAUAGAUUAGUUUGACUCGAGUUCAUGUUUAUACGGGUCUAAACCAAUUUGUUUUGCCUGUCUUCUCCCAUGGUGUUCUGCUUCCUUUGGUUCGUUUUUGAGCUGCUCAAACCUUUUAUUCCAUCUAUCUUUUCCCAUGUUCAUCCUAGUUUUUUCAACUUUGGACAAUGCCUUCAUGUACACUCCAUAGGGUAAUUUUUUUUUUUUGGUUGCCCCAUGUAUGAUUCACACUCUUUAAAUUGGUACCAAACGGUACCCCAGCAAAAGCAGAAAUCUGGGAGCCGUUCAUACAAUACUGGCAACUCCACCUUAUCAUCUUCUUCUAGCUCCAACCAUUUUCUGUAAUGGCUUUGUGAUGUCAAUGGAUAUUCUGACUCUUGCAUACAAACCAAUACACUCCCUGUCAUCAUCAUUUUCAACUUCCAACACCUCUCCAAUCAGUCCUCCCAGCUUUUGAACAUUGUCUCUCUCUAUGCAAACAAUGGGUAUAUUGUGAAUUCAUACCCAAAAAAGUGUAUGCGUGAAUUCUUCCUUUCUCAUGUUUCCUAUUCCACUGGGUUCUUUCAACACAAUCAAAGCCCUAUCGAAAUGACAUGGCUCUCCUGCCAUUAUUUUCUGUUUAUCAACUUCUAACCCAAAUUUGAACCGAAAAAUAUUGUUUCUCAUGCUCUCAAUCUUCACCUUUUUUGUUGUUUUCCAUGCUUGUGUUAAUGCAGUUUUGAUCACAUCCGUGUGGACACUCUUUGCCAAUAGAAUUUUUCCAACUAGAGAAUUUUCCAUUAUACGUCCUCUUUUUCCUUGCAUUCCGCUUCUAAUUGAUAGCUUUCGUUCACUGCCAUCUCAUAUAAAAAUAGCUUUGCAUUUACAUAUUAACUCAUCUGUGUCCAUAGAUGACGAACAACAAGUUUGCUCUUUACCUGCUAACUACCCUGUGUUUGAAUCUCGGAGUUUUACUCACUCUCACCCACUCUCUUAAAUGAACUCCCUCGAUUUUUAACUUCCUUGAUAAUUUUAAAUAAAAGACACUCAAUCUAAAAGACAUUGAAUUUGCAAAGUUUCAAUGGAAAUAUAUGUCUCUUCUUGCCAUUCUUUGCCCUCUCAACAUCGAAAAAAUUUCAUUUUAUUAGUUUUACUUUUAUGAAGAAUUUGAGUGUUCCAAAAGUAGUCAUGGCAAAUCCAACCUUUCCCACUUGUAAUCAAGCAUUUGAGUAUUAUCAUAACUUGUUUUGGAGGUAUAAGUGUUGCCGUGAAAGAUGCUAUAGGUAGCUUGCUUUGGAUUUCACUUCAUGCAAAAAUGGUCUUAAUCGAAUCAGAAACUCAUAUAGGUCUUAUUUCAUAUUAAGGUGUUCCAACUUUUAAAUUAUAGUUGUUGUAUGAAUGGUCUUAGUAAUAUGUAGUAAAAAAAAAUUUAAAAAUUUUUUUUAACAAAAUUAGUAAAUAUAUAUAAUAAAUUUUUUUAUCAUACAAGUAUAAAAUCAAAUUAACUUAGUUUCUAAGUUACAACAGCUAGUGCUUACUAGCUUUUAAGUUACAGUUGCUCAACCUCAAACCCCAAACUAGACCAUAAUUGGAAAGUACUUGACAAAUGUAUGCAACUUACUGUGCUUGUACACAAGUUCAAUUUAACAUUUCAGUAAUGUGCACGCAAAUAAAGGUUGCUCUAACUUGCUGCAAAUAAUGUAAGUUAAAAUUACAAAAGAGUGUAUUAUGCUAAAGGAUAUUCAUAAUUUUUUUAAGAAAUCAAGUUACUCUAAUUCACAUCCUUUUUUUUAAGGAUUUGCAUUCGAAUGAAAGCAUGAACGAAACAAGUAAUGGUGAGCUGGCUAUCUUCAGAAAUAAUCAUAUAUAUAAAUUUUAUUUUAUAAAAUUUUGCCAUAUUGCAAUAAUUAUAUAUUGAAGGGUCUUCAUUUGUAUAUAACACUAGGUGUUAGGUAUGUUUGCUUAUUGGUAUUUCUUUGACAAAAAUAUGUGAUAGUGCCCUUAGAAACACAGGUACAUAAUCAUCGAAAAAUCAAGUUUUCUUAAAAUUUAUGUGGAUGAUUAAUGAUGUAUCUUUUUUUAUCAGGUAUUUAAUUCAUUUGUAUAUGCAAAGGCCAUAUCUAUAAAUCAAGAUAAAUAUUUACGAGAAACAAAAAUGAAAGUGAAACAGAAUUAAAUUCAAGUUGUCCAACGAGAUAAAUAAUGAGUCCUAAUUCUCUUAUUCAUAUUUCCCUUAGAAACCCGGAUACUUCAUUAUAUAUUUCCAUCAGCCCAUAUAUUUCUUAGAUAUGAUUUUUUUUUCACUUCUUCAAAAGGAGCUACAUGUUUCUUACUUUGCAAAGGAUCCUGGCACAGAACGAGCAAGCUUGUGUGGACAUCCCUGACUGUUGGUAGGGAAAUUUAUGCCAAAAUGGGGAAACUGCAGAAUGGAUUGCAAGUGAUUCUAUUGUACUAGUUACCAAAAUAGGAUACUUAUGACAGCGGUUGCUGAUUUUUCCACGUGUUCAUAUUUCUUCCAAUAUAACCCAAGUAGUUCAUAACAUUGUAUAUAAUGAUGUAGUUCGACAAGUGUUGCGUAAGAAUCACAACAAUGCAAUUGCAUCCAUAUUGAAUAGGGGUGGGCACAAUUGGGUUUGAAUCAAUCCAAUCGGAUUUCGAGUUAGUUGGAUUGAGAAAAAAGUUAUUCAAACUCAAUCCGAACUGGAAUAUGAUCUAAUCUAAUCCGUAUGUAUUCGGAUUAGAUCAAAAGUUCGGGUUUAGUUCAAGUUGACUGAGCUAGGAUUAUAAACGGAUCGAAUUGUGUUCGGUUUAAAAUUGGACUUGGGUCGAUUCGAGUCAUGGGCAAUUUUGAGCUUUUAUUUUGUAUAUUUUGAGUUUUCUUUACAAAUUAUGUAGUUACUAGAAAAUUAUUUUCAUAUAAUUAUCUCAUUUUAGUCUGUUUUUACCAAUUCUAAAAAAAAAAUGAAAACUACUAGUCUACUACCAUUAAAAUCAAAUGUAUACAAAUUAAAAUAAACACAAAUUCUAAAUUUAAUAGCCUCCACCCAAAGCACGAUAUUCAAAUAUAAAUAGCCUUCAAAACACAAAGAUCACAAAGUUUAAAUAUAAUUAAAUAGUUUCCAAUACAAAGUCUAAAAAUAAAUUGUUUCUUAAACAACAAAAUCUAAACAUAAAUAUUAAAUAACCUUCCUUCACGUAAAUAUUUGGACAAGUUCUAACUUCAACUUCUUGUAUUCGAAGUUGGAGGAUGGAUCGCCUAGAGAAGAAUUGAAGAGAAAAAGUAAAUUAAAAAAUUACAAAUUUAUGCAAAGAUAUUGAUUUACUUUUCUUUUCUUUUCUUUUUUGCUAUUGGUGAAUUUGAAUGCAACUGUUGGAACUUGGAAUAUAGAUCAUUCAUGUAUGUAUCAAACAAAUAAUUGAACCACUUGUCAUCCACUCAUCCUAUCGUUUAGCCAAAACCAUGUUACUUGCAAUUCCUUCACCAUCCUCAACUAUCAACUUCUGCUGAUUUUCAUCUUGUUGUUGUUGGAAUGUCUUGUAUAUGUUAUAAAUUUUUAUAUUAUUUCUCAGAUUGGUAAUCUCCUCAUGCCUUGAAUGGCAUUGAUAGUGUUUACCACAAUAGUUGCACUAGCAUUUGUUUGAAUUGUCCUUAAAUAAAGUGAGAUGAUUCCACAUUAGAAAUCUUUUUUUUCAUUUGCUGUAUUUUUCGCCUGCUUCGCCUUUUCCCUCCCUUUUUGAUUUCCUUUUAGUUGUUCACUUUGUUCCUCAUCAUCAAUUGUGAAAUUUAAUCUUGAGUGUCUAGUCACUUGAACAUACAAAAAAAUGAAUAGUCAUCAUUAAUUCAAAACAUAAAACUAUUAAAAUAUCACCACAACACUCACAAUCUCAAACAUCCUCAGUACAUUUAAAAAUGAGUGCUGCUAUUUACCCCGAAUUUGCACCCCGAAAUCAAAACGCACCGUUUGCUCUGAGUUAAUCACGGGUCCAUUAUCUUGCUUUAUAUAAAGGAAAGGAAAAAGCUGGGGAAAGAAAAAGCAAAAGCAAAGUUGUUUCUUCACGUGUUUCUUCAGUCAACGUGUGGGCCUAACUAGAAAAUUUGUUGUGUCCAGCUGUGGUCUGCUAAUUUUACUUUGCUUUGCUAUUUUUUUCAUUCUUUGUUAUUUCCUUCUUUGUAUCAGAUGAUGAUACAUGCAUCAAACACAAUAACGAAAAUUGAACGAGAGUAAGAGAACGAACCAUCGAUCAAGAGUUGAGGGAAGAGGGGAAAAAAAGAGAUUGAAUUAAGAUGCAAGUGGCGUGGUUGAGUGGAUUUGAAACCAAAAAUGGAAUGAAAUCCUCCUGACUUAACAAACGAAUCUGCCUGAAGAAAAAGAGUGCUGCUAACUGGAAAGAGAAAUGGAAAGUGAAAGCAAAAUGUUUACCUUGCUUUACGGGCCUAACUAGAGAAGUGGAAAGUGAAAGCAAGGAAGUAGAAAGUGAAGGCAAAAUGAAGCAACACGUGUAGAGAGAAAAAAGUAAACGGUGUGUUUUGAUUUCGGGGCGUAGAUUCGAGGAGCAAAUUCGGGAUAAAUAGCUUUUCCUUUAAAAAUCACAAAUAAUAAUAAGACUAGGAUAAUUGUGCUAAAAAUAAUUAACAAUACAAUUUCAAUUAAUAAAUUAAUUAGUCUCAAUCUAAGCAAAAAACAAUGAAACGGAAUUUUACAUGAUGAUUAUUUAGGAAUAAAAUUUUAACAUACAUUUUCUUAUAUAAAUUUAUAGGGUUUGAUUUGUAUUGAAAUUAAAAUUAAAAAAUAUGAUCUCUAUACUCCUAUUCACUAAAUUACUAAUUCUAACUAAAAUCAUGGAUAAAUUGUGACUUUUUCUUGCUGAGUAGUCUUAUUAAGCAUACAAAAAUCAUUGAACUUGAAAAGUUAUAAACGUAAUAGAAAUUUGGAAAUUAAUUAUUUAAUAUAAUAUAUAUAGUAUAGUAAUGUUCAUUGAAAAAAGUAAGUUGGAGGAACUUAAUGGCUAUCGAUCAAGGUGGAGCAAGUUGCAGCAGUGGUCAUGGUGUAUUGUGUCAGCAUGUCAUAGACUCACGAUGGCCUGGCUUCAUGCAGUUGCGUUGGUGAGUCAGUGACUACUGUUGUGUGUGUGUUGUCUGGUGAGUCUACUGUGUUGUGUAUCUUGUCAUGCAAACUGCUAUGCCAAUUACUAUGCUGCCACUGAUUUGUAGGUAUGCAUGAAUGCUUAGUACAUGUGUGGUGCUUUUUUUUUAAAAAAAAGAAAGUAAACCUUUCACAAAUCACAAUACAUCAAAUACAACUUGAAUCUUAGUUGGGAUAGUUCCUAACCAGAUAGAAGAAGAGUUUCUCCCCAAAGCUAACUUAACUAAGGAAUGGGCAUAAGCAUUACAUUAUCUUGGAGUAUGAUGGACUGAAACUUUAUGAAAAUCCUUCAACUAAUUUUGGAUCUCUAGAAUUGUCCAAAAUUUUUUUGUUUUGCUACCCUUAGUGUUGUUUACUAACUGGACCAACUCUAAGCAAUCUGACUCAAUGAUCAAGGAGGCUAAAUUUGCUUCUCUCGACACUUGAAUUCCACAUAACAUAGCCUCGGCCUCUACAUUACUUACCGUUCCCUUUAGAGAAGAUUGAUUGAUGCCAGCUGCAAUUACCUUGCCGUUUGUUCCUCUGAUGACUACUCUCACUCAUGUAGUCUGAUCCUUGGCAUUAAUGGCAGCGUCGACAUUAACUUUGAAGACAUUUUCGGGGAGGGGGGGGAAUCCACUUCUGCAGCUUCUCUCCACUGGAGUAGGCAAUAUGAGAGGGGUAUGUCUUCCUUACUCUUUGAAAUGCAUCCAAAAUAGACUUUGCCUUUGCAGUUGAGAUAUUGAGGGCUAUCUUCUUGCCUUCGAAAAUAAAUUUGUUUCUAGAAAACCAGACAGCCCAACACAAAGCUACCAUUAAUUCCAAAUCAGCUUUCCUUAACUCAUUGGCCAUUCCUUGCAAAAUGCUAAAAAUGUCCUGAGAAUGAUCUUUAAAGCUUGGAACUGUAAAGGGAGAUUGUAGCCAGAUCGAUUUUGCUGCCUUGUACUCCAAUAAGGCGUGGCUUAUAGAUUCUAUGCUCUUUCUACAUAUUUGACAAGUUGGCUCUUGAAUGACUUUUCUUUUCCACAUAUUUUCUGUUGAUGGGAGCAAAUUGUUUGAUGCCCUCCACAUGAAUAUUUUUAUUUUUUCAGGUAGCUCCAGGGACCAAAGGGCACUCCAAUACUGAGACAUGCUCUCUAAGCUACUAGGAGCAUUUGGAAAUUUCAUUCUUAAGGCUAGCUGGUACCCACUUUUGACCGAGUAUUCUCCCCUUUUAUCAUAAUGCCAUAAAACAUCAUCAUCCAAAUGUUCUUUUGGGAGAGGAAUCUUAAGAAUCAUUGCUGCAUCUACUUUCAUAAAGUGUUAGUUCAAAUUGUCUUCAUCCCAAUGGUUAUCUUCCUUAUUUAGGUUUGCCACCACUAUGUCUGCUCGCAAAGUAGGGGGGCGAUUGGCUUGAACGUAUCCGGCCUUGGCAGCCAAUUAUCCUUGUAAACAUAUAUGUUCUUGCCAUUGCCCACCCGCCAUCUAAAACCUUUCUUGAUUACUUCUCUGCCCCAAAGAAUGCUUUUCCAGAUGAAUGAAGCAUUGGACCCUACUGAUGCACCUAGAAAGCUGGAGUUCUUGUAAUAUCUUGCUUGAAGGACUCUUGAGACCAGAGAAUUUGGGUACUGCAAAAACCUCCAAGCUUGCUUUGCCACCAAGGCUUAGUUAAAGCUAGUAAAAUCCCGAAAUCCCAUCCCACCUCUGUUUUUUGCAUGGCUGAGCUUUUCCCAUUUUAACCAAUGGAUACCUUGCUUAACUUCCUUCGUUCCCCACCAAAACUUCGCUAUAGCCCGUUGAAUGUCAUCACAAAGACCUCUCGGAAGCUUGAACACACUCAUUGCGUAAGCUGGGAUAGCUUGGGCUGCCGCUUUAAUAAAGAUUUCCUUACCCCCACUCGAAAACCUUUUAUGCUGCCACCAUGUGAUCUUGUUUAAAACUUUUAGCUGCUGCCACCAUGUGAUCUUGUUUAAAACUUUUAGCUUUACUUCAUCGAAAAAGCUUAGCUUCUUUCUUCCUAUCAUUGAGGGGAGGCCUAAGUAUUUUUCAUGCUUGGAGACCACAUUUAACUUGAAAAUGUCUUUAAUAGCAGUUGGAUUGUUGUCGAAAAUCUCCUUCAGAUGCUUACAAUCAGCCACUGAAGCACGAUAAAAAACUAGGUUAUCAUUCGCAAAUAGCAAGUGGGUAAUUGAGACUUCUUUUGCAAAUUUCAGACCUUGGAUUAGCUGAUUCUUUUCCGCCUUCACCAGCAUAUUGGAGAACGCCUCAGCACAGAUGAUAAAGAGAUAUGGAGAUAGCGGGCAGCCCUGCCUCAGACCUCUUUCCGGCUGAAUCAUUCCCUUUGGCACACCAUUAAUAAUCACCGAGAGUGAGGCAGUAGAGACACACCUCAUAAUCAAAUCCACCCAAUUAGGUGAGAAACCCAGCCUUAACAAUGUUUGAUUAAAAAAAGACCACUCAAGUCUAUCAUACGCCUUACUAAUAUCUAGCUUAAGAGCCACAAGAUCGUUCCUCUUCCAUUUACAGUGUCUUAUCUUAUAGAGGCAUUCAUAACCAAUAAUAACGAUGUCUAUAAUGAGUUUAUUGGUUAUAAAUGCACUCUGCAUUGGAGAAAUGAUUUGGGAGAGGAUCAGUUUCAUUCUAUUUGCAAUAGCCUUAACUACGACUUUAUAAAUUACAUUACAAAGGCUUAUGGGCCUGUAAUCAGAGACUCUCCCAGGCUUAGCAAUUGUAGGGAUCAAGGCGAUAAAAGUAUGGUUAAGAGGAGACGGGUUACCUUGCUCAUUAAGGAUAUGAAGACAUGUUGUAACAACUCUAUUGCGAAUUAAUUUCCAAUGCUUCUGAAAAAAUACAGCAGUUAAGCCAUUUGGACCUGAGGCUUUUGUGGGGCACAUAUGUCCUAGCCUCCUCUAUAUCCUUUGGAGUGAAGGGCUUCUCCAGCUGGGCAUUCAUUUCUGAUGUUACUUUUGUCGGCAUUCCUUGAAGAGCAGCUUGAAUUUGGCUUGGAGUUGGGCUGGAUGUAGUGAAGAGUUCUUAAAAGUAACAGCAGAAUUCCUUUUCUAUAUCAUCUAUCUCCCUUAGCCAGACGCCUUGAGAGUUUUCUACCCCCCACACCUUAUUCUUUUUUUUACGGGCAGAAGUCUUGGCAUGGAAAAACUUAGUGUUUUUGUCUCUUUCUCUUAGCCAGUCAGCCCGCGAUCGUUGCUUCCAAUAGAUCUCCUCGUCAAUAAGCAUGGAAUUGAUAUAGCUUUCAAUCUUCCUGAUCUCCUCUCCAUCAGUCAGUUUAGAGCUUCCUUGCAUAGCAUUCUGAAGGCUCUGAAACAACUUUUCUUGUUUUCUUUGUCUUCCUUCAAAUUCGUUUUUACUCCAAAGUUUAAGCUAAGCUAAAGACUUUUUUGCUAUCCACUGAAAUUGGUGAGCAGGAUCCUCCCAAGCUCUAGCCCCAUAGUUUCCCCACUCAUCCUUUACUAUGCUCCUACAGUCUUCGUAAGAACUCCACAUAUCCUCAUAGUGGUCACGGGGAAACGAUCUGCUCACAGUCCUCGACUUCUUGCAUCUCUAUUUGAAUUCUAAGACUAUUGGGCAGUGAUUUGAGACCCAAUUAACAAGGUUUAUGGCUGUAGAGUCUUAAAAUUUGUUGCCUCAAUCCUUACUACACAAGAAUCUGUCCAGCCAUUUUUCUAUGUAAUUAGAACCAAAUCUCUUAUUAGACCAUGUAUACGGGUACCCCUUGCAGCCCACAACCUCUCUAAACUCGACAACCACAUUUACAUUCUUCUCGUUGCUCCCAUUUUUCUCAAACAUAUGCAUCACUUCAUUGAAAUCCCCAAAGCAACACCAAUGGUGGGACGAAAGAUUAGCUAACCUUUUUAGAAGGGUCCAUGUGCUGCGCUUCUAGCUGAGCUCUAGGUGGCCAUAAAUCCCCGCACAUCUCCAAACCAAGCCACUUUCACUACUCACUAUUGCAUCUAUAUGGUGGGGCCUGUAUGAGGUGAUAUUGACAUUAAUGUCUGCUCCCCAGAGCAUAGCUAGGCCUCCACCCAAACCAUUUCUGUCCACAGCAAAACAAUUUACAAAAUUAAAACUUCUGUAAAUUAAAUUGACCUACCUAGCCAUCAUCUUAGUUUCACAACAAAAUAGUAUUUGGAGCCGGUGCAGUUAUAGAACUUUUCUAAUUGCUAAGUGCGUUUGAGGCUUCCUCAGACCUCGAACGUUCUAGCUGAGGAUCUUUAUGGUUGUCGGCGAGGCUGAUCAUCAGUACCCGCCAAUAGGUCUUCAUCCAUUGCUUCCAAGUUUUCCCCUGCAUCUAGCACUUAUUCUGCUUGCUUCAGCUAGCGAGCUACUUUGUUGGGGCUAAAAUGGUUGCAGUUGCCUAAUGCUUUUGCUAGGCUUAUGUGUUUUCCUUCCUACAGUUGCUUUUUUGGACUGGACACUCACUUCUUUUUGCUCUCUGGGCUAGGCCCAUGACCUUCACUGUUGUGUCUUUUACUUCCUAUGAAAGUAAUAUUAUUUGCUCCUUCUCCUUUGGUGUUUCUUGCCCGUAAUUUCCAUUUUCUUCCUUUGGAUUUCACGGUGGCCUUGCUGGCCCCAUCAUCCAAAUCCUCUUCAUCUGAUCUGGCACCCCAUGUGUCCUCCUCCAUUUUAUUUUCCAUCUUCCCCACAUUAUCUUUUUCUACAAGAUUUUCAUUUUCCCUCCAAUCCUUCUUUUCUGCCUUUUUUUGCGUUCAUAUCUAGAUUGGCACCACCCUGCAAGAUUUUCAUUUUCAUUACUAGUCACUCUGUCCUGCAACUUGUUGAUGUCACCACCCUGCUUUAAUGCACCACUUGCUGGUUUUCCUGCUAUGUUACACUCAACAUUAGAUGCUGCCCAUCAGCUCUUGGUUCCUUGUUUUUACCCACUGGUUCAUCACCAUUAUCUAUCUCCGGACCCGAUUCGAUCAGGUAAGACCCAUUUUGACUAUCCGAGUUGUUUUGAGACUGGUAUGGCCUUAGGCUAGUUGUUGCUGAAUCAUUUGCUCUGGAAUGGAAUUGUUCUCAAUUGCCUUUCCCUUUACUUCGAUUUUGUUUUACCCUUUCAGCCUGAGUGACUGCUCUCAUCCAUCCCCGUAAGGCAGAUCCUCCUUUUGUUGUCCUUUGUACCUCAGGCACUCUCUGUACUGAUGACCUACAUGCGCGCAACAAAAGCAAAAGUCCGGUAGCUUUUCAUACAGGAUUGGCAUUGGAAUUUUUCCUUCAUCUUGUUGUAAAAACACAAUCUUUUUUAAUGGCUGAGUAAUGUCAAGGGAGAUUCUUACUCGAGCAAAUUGUCCUAUGCAAUCCCCGGCUUCGUCUGUCUCUAUUUUCUUGACCUCACUAAUCUUUUCACCUAGUUUUUCAAUUGCCUCCUUGUUCAUGCACAUUAUGAGUAUAUUUUGGAUCUGCACCCAAAAUGUUGUAUGCGUAAAGAAUUGAUUUUUGAUAUCACCAAUGUCGGAUGGUUCGAUCAAAACUAUCAGUGCUCUGUCAAAAUGCCAUGGCCUUCCUAUAAGCAGUCUUUUCUUUUCUUAUUCUGAAGCAAACUUGAAGAGAAGAAUAUUAUCCCCCAUGCUUUUAAUUUUUACCUCCUUCACUAUUCUCCAAGCCGUUUGCAUAGCUGUUUUCAAGCCUUCCCAGUUUAUGCUUCGUGAAAGCAACACCUUCCCUACUAGACAAUUCGCAGCAACUUCUUCUCCCUUAAUCCUCAUUUGCCCCAUGAAUGCUACUAUGCCUGCUUCUUCUUCUUUUAGAACGACAGCCUGACACUUGCGCAAUAAAUCCUCUGUAUCCAUACUUAGCUCUGAAUCCACCUACCCUCUAUUAUCCGCAAAUAAAAGCUAAAAGAAGGAGUCAAUCACCCAAAUUCCUUCAAGAAGUACUAUGGAAAAUUGUAAAAGAACACCCAACUAGUGAGCGAAUGAAAAAGCCAAAAUAGGCUUCAGUCUCCUUUCAUUCUAGUACCUUUCAGAGAAAAAGUACUAUAAAAGAAAGAGUAUAUGUGUCAUUGUUAUUCUGUACAUGUGUGGUGUUAAUCGAAUACAAUUAGGUUUAGUUUUACUCUUUUAUAGUUUUAGAUUAAAUAUUUAUUUUAGAUACGAACCUUGACCAAUUCAAAUCAAUUCUACUAACUGAUUUUUAAUCCAAAAUAAUAUAUAUAUUUAGUUUUCAUCAAACGGCUGAGAAAUGGGCCAAGCCCGUAUGCACACGUGUGAAGACCUGUUUUAUGUUUUGUCAAUUUGGAGUAGUGCAAGUAUUUUGAAAUUAACUGAAGGGAAAGCUAAGUGCGUAUUCAAACAUGCUGGUGAUGAAUUGCUCCAUGAUAAUUCGUUUUCCAAUUUAUGAGACGAAAGGAUGGUUUUGAGUUUGAUACCACAAUGCCUCGUCUUUCUUUUAUCCUUGUGAUUUUUGAGAAUUGCAGUCUCAAUUGGAAUGAGAGAGGAAGUGUAUGUGAAACGUAUAGGUAUAGAGCUUGGCCUUACGCCAAUACAAUUUUAUUGAGAUAACCUAUAUUGGCUUUUACAUAAACACAGUACAUGUAUAAAAAUUCAGAAAACAAGAUUAAAUCUGAGAGAAUGCUUUAUCAAUCUAAUGCUUUUUCUUGGUAACAUAAGAAGAGGUGUCGAGAAAGGGAUAAUCCGUGUAACCAACAACAGGAUCGGAAACAUAGAAUGUUUCUCUGUUGUACUUAUUGAGGGGGGCAUUGAACUCAAAUCUCCUGGGUAAAUCUGGAUUAGCCAAGAACAAGCGACCAUAAACAACAAGAUCUGCACGGCCUUCAGCAAUAGCUUUGUUUCCAUCUUCCCUGUCAUAACCCCCAGCGACAAGAAAAGUACCCUUGAAAGCCUUUCUCAUGGGCAGCAAACUGUGAGGACAUUCAGAUUUUUCUCCAACUGUUUUCAUCCUCGGAUCAACCAUGUGACAAUAGAGGAUACCAUAUUUGUUCAAGGAUUCUGCCAUGUAAAGACCUAAAGCUUCUGGGUUAGAGUCUCCUGAUUCCAUAUAGUUUGCAAACGGAGAUAGUCUUAUCCCAACCCUAUCUGCCCCUAUUUCAUUGGAAACAGCUUCAACUAUUUCUAAAGCAAAACGGCAACGGUUCUCUAAGGAUCCUCCAUACUGGUCUGUUCGAUCAUUCACUUGAUCCUUCAUAAAUUGGUCAAUUAGGUAGCCAUGUGCACCGUGGAGCUCAAUGCCAUCGAAACCUAUACAGCAUAAGACAAAGUUAGAAACCAAAAACCUGUACAGCAUGAACACUCCAUUUAUCUAACUCUUCUCAUAUAACUGAAAGCUCUGAGGCUCGCAUUGUGCGGACAGACAGACGGAGGGUCUAGCUUUCAUUUUAAGAACAAGAAAAAGUAUUUAAGCAUUUACUAGGUUGGCUCUCAAAGUUAAGGUUUAAGUUUUCAAAUUCUUUAUUCAAUAUGAUAAAUACAACUAUGGGACAAUAAGCAUAAUUGUAAAGAAACUUAAUUGUUUUCACAUAAACCUUACAGUACAAUAAAACAACAUUAUUUACAAGCCACAAAAGCCUAGUAAAAAUCUAUUAAUGCAUUUAUGUUUAGUUUCCCUUUCCUUCUGAUAGCCAUGCAUGGAAUGGAAGAAUCUCACUAUUCUUUUAUACUAUUUUCCUUAAUCUCAAGAAAAGUAGACCAUUGAAAUAUCACCCAUCCUGUGGCGACCUUAAAACACUUAUUGCCCACAAUUCAAUUUUUAAUUUCAGAAAAAAGAAUUUACCAGCCUCAAUUGCGUUUCUUGCAGCAAGCCUGAAAUCAUUCACAAUUUGAGGGAUUUCAUCUGUCCUUAGCCGCCUUGGACGAGUGAAUUGUGCAAUAUCAACACCAUUAGCGCGGAUUUGAGGUGUCAAUGGCUUGUCUGUACUGGAAAUUGGAGCUUGACCAUUUGGCUGAUAAUCUGUACAGUUCGAAGACAGGAAAAACCAAUGAAGAUCCAGUUGAAAUGAUUCUCAAAUUUCUAUAAAAUCAGUCAGAUCCAUCACAUGGAGGUUUUAAAAAAACUAUUGAAUGUCAUUUUAUUAACUGAAAAUAAAAUGCAAAAGGAUGGUGCAUCUGUAGGAUGAUCAGUACUCAAUUUGAGCAUUUGAUUAAUCCGAGCUGCUUAUUCUCUCAACACUUGCCUCAUAUUAGAUUACUGCAAUUCAAUAGCUUAAGCUCACGGUACCUUAUCUUAUUGUCAGAAAUAAAAUGUAUGUAUGAUCCUGAUAACUAAGUAACCAGUAACUGUCAAUAGAAGAGAGAGAUAUAGAACACACCUUGAUUUGAAACCCUGCCAACGUGCCAAAUCUGACAAAAGAAG